UACGUAGGGUGCAAGCGUUGUUCGGAAUUACUGGGCGUAAAGCGCGCGUAGGCGGGUCUGUAAGUCGAUUGUGAAAGCCCUGGGCUUAACCCGGGAAUUGCAGUCGAUACUGCAGAUCUUGAAUGCCUGAGAGGAUGGCGGAAUUCCCGGUGUAGAAGUGAAAUUCGUAGAUAUCGGGAAGAACACCUGAGGCGAAGGCGGCUAUCUGGCGGUGCAUUGACGCUGAUGCGCGAAAGCGUGGGGAGCAAACAGG
rnacentral:misc_RNA from 1 species